CAACGCAUGAUUCAUGCUUCCUUCUCUUUCUUCUUCUUCACUGCACAGCAAGAAUACCACUUUUCGCUGCUUUCUCUUUGCUCUCUUCCACUUUAUUUUAUUGGGAAACAGUCGUAGGUAGAAUCUCUUACUUCCUUUUCACUUUUCCAAGUCCUUCUCAAAAGUCAACCCUCCAUGCUUCUCUCGGAUUUCUUGUUCAUCGUUGCUUCCACUCACUGGUUUCCAAACACUCUUUUCCCUGCUUUUUACUUUCUUUACUUUUUUCCUGCCUGCUUUUCAUCACGAAAAUUAUAUUUAAUUUAAUUCGCCUUGUUUUUGUUUGUUUCUGGUGGUUUUCUUAUCUUCAUUCGUUUCUGCUUUAGUUUUUGCUACUCUUUUGAGAGGACAGAGUGGUGAGCUAUGAUUACUUAGUGCCCUCUGAUCUGGGUCUUUUUAUGAUUCAACCUUCAUGCCAUUACAAGUUCUGAAGUUAUUAGUCGUGUGGGUAAAUUCUGGAUUUUUGAAAUAAUUCUUUUGGAUUUCUAAUCAAUUUGUUCCAACAGCUUGUAAACCUUCACAACGUAACAACUGAUGUAAGACGAGAUUGGCUUUUGCAUAAAAGGACUCUGCAACCCUGCAUGGACCACCUGAGCUGAUAUCUGGAUCUUCUUUAUUUAAAUUGCUGUCUAUACAGUAUGAGGUUUUGUAAUCUCAGAACCUUUUUUCAUUAUUGGAAUUGAAGAUUAAGGAAAUGGAGAAGGUUUGUGAGUUCUGCACGGCCCUGAGGCCACUUGUUUACUGUAAAGCUGAUUCGGCAUAUCUUUGUCUAUCCUGUGAUGCGAAGGUGCAUUUGGCAAAUGCUUUGUCCGGCCGGCACCUCCGGAACCUUGUGUGUAACUCAUGUGGACAUCAUGCUGCUUAUGUUGUAUGUUUGAACCACAAAAUGUUAAUCUGUCGAGACUGUGAUAAAAAAUUGCACAAUGUUUCUUUAUCACACCAGAAACGAGCUAUCAGAAGUUUCAUAGGUUGCCCUUCUGCUAAAGACUUUGCAGCACUCUGGGGGUUUGAAUUGAAUGAGAUUGAAAACUGUGCUAGUCAGGAUCAGUAUGAUUCAGUUUCUUGUGUUUCUGCAGAAUUGAAUGUAGCACAAGUCUCAGGAAAGCCUGACAUUCAAACUGGGGUCCCUUCAUUGCUAGCUGGGGCCAAACUUGAUGAGGGAUCGACCAGUCAACAAGGUCAGAUAUUGCACAAUCAUCAAGAGCGUCAAACUAUUGUGCAGCAGAUUAUUGAUCUAAAAUGGCUCCAACAAAAUGAGGAGAUUGAUUAUUCUGCGAAGAUCAGUAGGCUAAAAGAAAAAAAAUCAUCACCUUCAUUAUAUAACACUCUUAAGAAAUUGGACGAAAAAAUCAAUGGUCAAGCACAAAAUUCCCAGGAUUUGGCUACUAAUGUUCUGGAAAAAGACCGUCCUAUCGUGGAGCCGAGCACAGAAACUUUGCCUUCUACUUUUUCUCAACUUGAUAAUUUAUCUUCAUCUUCAAUUAUCGAUCUUCCCUUGCAUGGAGAAUUGUUCUGGACCUGCAAAAGUCCUCUUCGAAGUAAUCAGCUAUGGUCCCAAAAUAUUCAAGACCUCGGUAUAUGUGAAGAACUUGUUCGUCUAGAUGAUUUUAACAUCCCUGAUGUUGACUUAACUUUCCAGAACUUUGAUGAAUUAUUUGGAGGAGAUCAGGAUCCAAUUAGAAUAUUGUUUGAUGAUCAAGAUGUCUCUUGCUCUUCUUUAGAGAAGGAUAAGUCAGUCGGCAAGUCAGAUAUUGACAAUCUAAGUGCAAUGGAGGAUUCUUCGGCUUCUGCAUCCAUUAAUCUCUUCCAAUCUGAUCAUGAGAACAAGGAUAUGAACCCUCUCGUCCAGUACUGUCCAAAAAGCAUUGAUCCUACUCAUGCAACUCAACCAUUUGAUUCAACUAUACCCUUAUCUGUUUUGGGAAUCAGUCUGGAAAGCAGUUUCACACAUGAGGACAGUAUCCUUUCUCCCUACAGUGAAGGGAAGGCUUAUUCAGGUAGUUAAAUUGAAUUGAAGAUUGCACAUGUGGAGCCUAAAGGAAAUGUCAUAUGCAGUAUAAAGAGAAAAGGUCUCAAUUGCAUGAGAAGCAAUUUCGACUUCUAUCCAGGAAACCUGGAGCUAAUGUAAGAAAGAGAGUGAAAGGCAUUGCUAUGACAGAAAGUUUUGACUUUUGCAUAUUCUUGCCGUAGAUAUCUCUCUCUCUUCCAGAUUGUUCCUCAUCAUGAAGCAUUUGUUCACUUGAUAAAUUGACUCACUUACAUUUUUUCUGUUCAUAAUAUAUUGUAAAAGCCAUCAUGAUAUGUACUGCUUAUUCAGAAAUAUAUUGUUAAUCUAUGUGUAUGUAAAUACGAACAAAUUCUUCCCAAAUUUGAGUUUCCUCCCUGUUAGAAGUCUAAUAUCUUGACAACUCAAUUCCUAGAUGGUGUUGUAUAACAUACACUCAAUACCAUGGACAUUAUAUACAGCGGGAAAAAACUCUACAGACAGG